UGAGAAAACUCUUCUCUAAUUUGCUGCAUGU
rnacentral:piRNA from 1 species